GGAACCAUCUAUCGUCCUGUCCUGAAGGGAGUUCCUCCUAGAUCUGGUCGGACCUUCGUAUGCAAAAAUGUUCAAGAGAUUUGACCAGGAAUGUUGCCUCCAGCUCUUCAUCUCCCACUCCAAUGGGGCUUUUGGCUUUUCCACUCCGGUGAAAUGACUCUGAACAACGUCAAUGAAAACCCUCAUGCUCUCAAUCCCAUAGGUUUGUGCCUGUACCACCUUCCACAGCCUACUAGCUGAAUUCAGCUGAUGGCUGCUCCUACAUUCUAGAAGCAGUCUCUUGUCUUGGCAUUUGUCUGGUUGUACUUUCUGUUUCCUCGUCCAUCACUGCCCUCCUUCCCAGCCUCCUCUUUAAAGUCUGGCCAGACUUCAAAGUCAGGCUGUUCCUCUGUGUGCUGGGUCUUCUCAUUUCUGCCUCAUCUAUCUACACCUUUCCUCUGGGUCAUCUUUUCCUUCCCUGCAAUGUUAAAUGCCAUAUUUGUGCUGACGGCUCCACAAUUUGGUCUCCAGCCCAACCCUCUUUGUCAUAUUUUGUUCCCCCUUUCUCACUAUGCCCCUAGAAGACGCAUUACACUUUUCUGCGUUGGGGCUUCAGACUUGCUGAAUCCUGUUCCUGAGACGCUGGGCUUGUGGCUUUUCUUAUUUCUUCUUUUGUCAUCUUAAGUGUCACUUUUUCAGAAAGGCUAUAUCUCUGACUCUUCCUCAUCUAACAUAGGCACCCUGCCAAUCAUUCUCCAUCACAUAUCCUAUUUAUUUUCUUUUUAACAUUUGUUCAAACUAUCAACGUUUUGUUUAUUCGUGACUUUUUUGAUUAUUUGUCAAACAGGUUCCAAGAGUGCUGAACUAUGUCUGUUUUCCCAAGUACCUAGCAUACUGCCAGAUGCACUGUAGGUCCCUGAUAAAUUUUUGUUGAAUAACUAAAUGAAUAUGGUUCUUCUGAUUUCUUAAGCUAACAGAGUCCUCCUCAUGCUGUUUUCUGGUGAUCUAGGUAUACAGUCUACAACAGAGCUCUUAGAGGUCUCUCCAAAGUAUCAAAGCUUCAAGGGAGGUGAUAUAGUUUGGAUAUUUGUCCCCUCCAAAUCUCAUGUGGAAAAUUGAUCCUCAGUGUUGGAGAUGGGGCCUAGUAGGAGGCAUUUGGGUCAUGGGGUGGAUACCUCAUGAAUGACUUGGUGCCUUUCUUGCUGCAGUAAUGAAUGACUUCUCACUCUAUUACUUACAGCGAGAGCUGGUUGUUAAAAAAAAGAGCCUCCAGACUGGGCGUGGUGGCUCACACCUGUAAUCCUAGGACUUUGGGAGGCUGAGGUGGGUGGAUCAUGAGGUCAGGAGUUCGAGACCAGCCUGGCCAAUAUGGUGAAACCCCCUCUCUACUAAAAAUACAAAAAUUAGCAGGGCAUGGUGGCAGAUGCCUGUAAUCCCAGCUACUCAGGAGGCUGAGGCAGGAGAAUCACUUGAACCUGGAAGGUGGAGGUUGCAGUGAGCCAAGAUUAUGCCACUGCACUCCAGCCUGGGCAACAAGAGCAAGACUCCAUCUCAAAAAAAAAAAAAAGCCUCCCUCCCCAUCUCUCUUUAGCUCCCUCUCUCACCAUGUGCCAUGCUUCUUGUACAGCCUGCAAAACCAUGAGCAAAAUACACCUCUUUUCUUUACAAAUUACCCAGCCUCAGGUAUUUCUUUAUAGCAAUGCAAAACAGACUAACACAAAAAGUUUGAGGAAGAGGUGGAUGACAAACAAUUCCCAGUCUACUUCUCUGAAGAGUUCCCUAAAUGCCAAUUCUGGGACAUUAUAUUUUCCUGAGAUGGCCACAAACAUGCCUCCCAGCCCACAUCAUCUUCUUUAAAAUAUGACUUUGACAUUCCUCCUGUUGAUUGGUACGGUCUAUAUUCCAAUAUUGAAUCUAGGCAAGUUUAUAACUUUAGCAGAAAUGAUACUAUGUCUUACAAUUUCCCUUGAACAAAGAAACAAACAAGAAACAAGGCUACAUCAUAAAAGGCAACACAGCCUCCACCUGGUCUUCUAGUGAUGCUUUCUCUUGAAACCUAGCUACCACCCAAGGAGAAUGUUCAAGCCGCUAUAUGCAGAGGCGAUGUUUAGGUGUGCUGGACAAUAGCCUCAGCUGUGGUUACAGAUGAAAGCCAGUAUCAAUACCAGACAUGUGAGUGAGGAAACCUUCUAGAUGAUCCCAGUCCCCCAGUUAGCAAGUAAUCCCAGCCUUUGAGUGUCCUGGUUGGAGUCUCUAACAUGUAGCAGAAAUAAGCCAUCCUUAGACAUCCACUGUCCAAAUUCCUGACCCACAAA
rnacentral:lncRNA from 10 species